AAAGCAUCACCCCUUCUUUUGGCAUCAUCAGUUCCACCUUCACUUGCCACUGCCUUGUCAACAAGAUCAGGCAAAUGCUCAGAAAGCACAGUGAACCAAUACUCCAACUCGUUGUGAUCUGAGAGGUCAAUAGUGUUUGGCUCGUACAUUUUUGGGUCUGCCAACAGAGGAAACACCUCCAAAGUGGGCACAAGAUGGAGAACACCAACAUUUAAUGCGCUUGCAUCAGAACGCAGAGUUCCACCUUUGGAUGAAGGAACCUCAAAGCCGCCAAGUCCAGUAGUUCCGGAUGGAGCCAUAGGUACUGGAGCUGUGAUUUCAGUUCCCUUCAGCACAAACUUUUCCAUCCAUGAAAUCUUCUCAUUCAAGUCUCCAAGUGGAGGCCCAUGAAUCUUUCCACCAGUAUAUGGUGCACCCAUUGGAAACCUUUCAACUAACUGAUGAACCAUCAAAUCGUCAAGACCGUGCUUUUCAUAGCUCAUAAAUGCACCUAAAGCACCCAAAAAGCCUUCAUGCCGCAGAAACAUUGCUUGGGCCUCUCCUUUUGACCAGAAAUGGACAGCAAAGGAGAUUGUGUCCAUGGUAUAAGCAUGACCCCGUAUAAAGAAACCUCCAAAGAAGAUUCGCUUAAGCCCAAAUCUAAGUGCAUUCAAGUAUGAAAUCUGCCCAAUGUUAUAUGAAAUCAUUCGCAAGAGGGAAAGGGAAAUAUCUUCUGGUCUGUAAUCUUCAAGUUCCUUCUUUUCGGAAAUAGCCUUGCCAAAACUAGAAGCAAUGGUUGAUGCCGAGAGACCAAUCUUACUAUAAUCCAUACCACCAUAAAUAUCACCAACAAGCAUGUCAAUCGUCCUAUUAUCUCCCCUUUGGCUCAAUUCUAGCAGCUCGUCAAAACUCUUGCACUUAGUUAACAGCCUUCCCAAGCCCCAAUAAGUGCCACCACCAACAUUCGUCCCACUAACCCGUUCAAACUUCCCAUCACUGUCAACCUUGAUCAUACUAACACCAGAUCCAAUGUUAACAAGAAGAUAAGGGAACAGAUCAUUCUGGUCAAUCUGCACAAACUCUUUGUGACCCUCCAUGUGUGUGAAAGCUUCAUGGCGUAUAGCCUUCAGCAAAAAAUUUGCCCCUGCCACAAGGCAAUCCAUCUCAUCCUCUUUGUCAAGACUAACCCCAAGCCUUUCUUUGAAAAGUUCUGCAAACUUGUAUGCCCCACCACCUGUGGCCUUAAUUACAGCAUUGCAAUUAGCUGGGGUCUCAGAAAGCCAACCAUGUGAGUCAAUUCCACCAAGGUGAAGCUGCUUGGAAGAAAUAAAGUCUAAGCAUUCAUUAAUCUUUCUUGUCUCAAACUUCACAAAGUGAAGCCUUCCGCCAAGGAUGGGGUAACUUCUCCUAUUACCGUUAGAAACCCCUAAUCUCUCCUUAACUGUCUUCUUCC
rnacentral:misc_RNA from 1 species